GACUGAUAAUUUGGAUCAGGUCUCAGCAUGGGCCAUUGAGGAACACUACAGCCCUGCUGAGAGAUAAAAAGGAUUAUCCACUCAAGGAGUUCACACCUCCGGGCCGACAUGGAGAACGUGCCUAGAAGCAGACUUGGAGGGUGCUCAGUGGUGGGUUGUGGAAUGUAAGCCUGAAGAAGCAGAGUUUAAUUCUACGGGGGUGCUUUCAUAAUUUAGUACCCUGACAGGGCUCCUGGUGUUGGUCCUUAGACACUCCUGGGAUGGCUCCCUGGAAACAUGGAGGAAACCUUGGUCGCAUGACAUGAUACGGAGAUGUUGGAGCUGCCUGGACACAGUUACAGAGGGAGGCAUUAAAAGGCUUCGAGAGGUCUUAGAAAAUGACUCUUCCUGUCUCAAAAUGCAGUCCUUCAUUCUGAUUGAUGAAUUGGAAGCACAUGGCUGGUGUAAAGAAUAAGAAACUAAUUAUAAGCCAGGAAACAGCAGGAGA
rnacentral:lncRNA from 10 species